CUUUAAAUAGGUGUUUUGAUUCUUCCUACAGAAAUUAAAAUGUAUUCAGUGGAACUCACAGUUUAAAAUUCUAUGUUUCUGAUGAACUCUAACAUUCCAAUGUUGCCUUCUCAGCAAACUGAAAGCUGCCUUAUACUGAAUGAGGAAGAGCACAAAUACUCGGCUGAAUGAGCCGAGCCCAGCGAAAGAACGGCACACAGCAGUUGCUGCCCAAGCCUGGGUGCUCCUGGUGGUCCUGCACGAUGGGCUGUGCAGUAGGCUUGUCAAGGAGAGGAUCCUCCCUGGCCUCUCCUUGGGCAGAGGAGGUGAUCCAUAAAGCUGCUCUGGAGCCAAAAUAUUGCAGUCACAUCUCGGCAGCGACCUGCCCUCAGGUGGCAUUUUCAAGUCAUGGAGAAGGUGGAGAGAGAAGCAAUCAGCAGCCACCCACUGCAGCUGGAGACCCCAGAACUUGGUGUCUGCCUCCCAUGGCACUGGGAAGGCUGGAGGCAGGUUAGAAAAAUCACCCCCUCUCUCCCACAGCCACCUGGAUCACAGGUGCCUUUAGAAGUAACCUUUCACGUGAGGGCUACACUGCCCCAUUUUAGAGGUGGGGAAACAUAAGGCCCGGAGGGCUAGGGAGGAGGGCAGGCUCCCCAGUUGGGGCAACGCACCGGCUCCUCGAAGACGCUCUGUGGCUUGGCCAGCUGCUGAAGCUUCUCGUGCUGCUCCUGAAGCCUCUCCUCCUGCUUCCAAAGCCUGUCUUCCUGCUCCUGAAUCCUCUCUUCUUGUUGCCGGUUCAGGAGACUCAUGUGCUGAUUGUUUUUGACCUGUGCCUGGAGCUCUCCUGCCACUCUCUCUAGUUCCUUCCUCAGGUGCUGCAGCUCCACCUCAGAGGGCACUGCUGGGGGCUCCGGGGGCAAGGGUUCAGCUGACAAAGGAAGCAGAUAAUAAGGGCCUCUGGAUGCUCAAAAAAAAAAAAAAAAAAAAAAAUGAAAGAAAGAAAGAAAAGAAAAACCCUCCUCUUGGCGCACAGCUCCUCUCAGGCUCCUCAAACUUGGCCUCACUGCUAAUGAUUCCUCGUACCCAGAUGGUAGCCAGUCUUCCAAACCACUUUCAGAUAGAGAGCACUGCGGGUGGCUGACAACGGGCCCUCUUUGCUGAUGGGGACACUGAGAUACUGAGACUCAUUGAGAUGACAAGACUUGCCGUCUCCUGGCACAGACCUCUUUCCCUCUGCCUCAAAGCCCUUCCAUCCACCCACCUCGCUGGGGCACUCUAAGCCACCCUCACAGCCCUCUGAUGCCAGUCCUGCUGCCAGGCCAUGCCAGCCCCAUCUUACCCAUCUGGUUUUUGAGUUUGGACAAGCUCCUCUCCAGCUUCUCUACCCGACGCAUAUCUUGCUGCUUCUCUUUCUUUAAUGUGCAAAUCUGCCCAACGCACAGGGGGAAAGGGCCCUGGAGAGAGGGGCUGGUGGCUGGACAGGCUGCCCUCUCCCUCUCUGCCCCUACCUCCACAAAGCCCAGACCCAUGACCACCUCUGGCUGUACUAUUCCCAUUUUACAGAUGAACAGAAAGAUCCAGUGACCUAUCUAAUGUUGGGGGGCUGAAGGGUCAAAUCUCACCUCCUGCGACAUUUUUCUCAUCCUCUGCUGCCACCGGGCCCUCUCUCCUUUUAGAUGUUCAGCAUACUCAUGUCUUUCUAAUUGGAGUUGUUGAAAUGACUCCUUCAACUGCAAGAAUGGGCACAGAAGUUAGGAAGGGCUGUCACUGGUCCUCACCUGCUCCUGGCCACCUGGGGUCAUCGUCCUUCCACAUAACUCCCUCGGAAAACCUCACCUGUGUCAGCUGCGCUUUCAGCAGUGCCUCCUCCCGCAUGGACUGCUCUAACUUCCACUCCGUACGUGCUUUACUGGGGCCGGACAACUGGAUGGCGAAGAGUGAAAAGUUUCAAUCUGGAGAGCCUGGGCCAUUCCACACAGUGCCCCUUAAAAGGGCUAGGGCUAGGCCCAAUAUACAACUCGGUCAGUAAAGAUCAAGGCAUUUCCAAGCCCGUGGUCUGGUUUUUAAAAGAACUCAGUAAAGUUGGAACGGACAGGGAAUGAGAUUGAAUUUAUAGCUGGCUAACAGAGGCCCAGAGAGAUCAGAUAAUAUUGCUAUUGUUAUUACUGUUAUUAUUACCACUGUUUGAACCUUUGUGGAAUGCUUCACCAGGUACCAUGCUAACAAUCCCAUUUAAUCCUCGCAACCACCAUAGGAGACAGUUACUAUGAUUCCCUCUAUUGUGGAGAUGAAAAAACAUGGAGUAUUUGAGGUUAAG
rnacentral:lncRNA from 1 species